GGGCGCAAGCCUGAUCUAGCCAUGCCGCGUGUGUGAUGAAGGUCUUAGGAUCGUAAAGCACUUUCGCCAGGGAUGAUAAUGACAGUACCUGGUAAAGAAACCCCGGCUAACUCCGUGCCAGCAGCCGCGGUAAUACGGAGGGGGUUAGCGUUGUUCGGAAUUACUGGGCGUAAAGCGUACGUAGGCGGAUCAGAAAGUUAGGGGUGAAAUCCCGAGGCUCAACCUCGGAACUGCCUCUAAAACUCCUGGUCUUGAGUUCGAGAGAGGUGAGUGGAAUUCCAAGUGUAGAGGUGAAAUUCGUAGAUAUUUGGAGGAACACCAGUGGCGAAGGCGGCUCACUGGCUCGAUACUGACGCUGAGGUACGAAAGUGUGGGGAGCAAACAGGAUUAGAUACCCUGGUAGUCCACACCGUAAACGAUGAAUGCCAGUCGUCGGGCAGUAUACUGUUCGGUGACACACCUAACGGAUUAAGCAUUCCGCCUGGGGAGUACGGUCGCAAGAUU
rnacentral:rRNA from 1 species